rnacentral:rRNA from 1 species
ACUGAACGCUGGCGGCAGGCCUAACACAUGCAAGUCGAGCGGUAGAGAGGUGCUUGCAUCUCUUGAGAGCGGCGGACGGGUGAGUAAUGCCUAGGAAUCUGCCUAGUGGUGGGGGAUAACGUUCGGAAACGGACGCUAAUACCGCAUACGUCCUACGGGAGAAAGCGGGGGAUCUUCGGACCUCGCGCCAUUAGAUGAGCCUAGGUCGGAUUAGCUAGUUGGUGAGGUAAUGGCUCACCAAGGCGACGAUCCGUAACUGGUCUGAGAGGAUGAUCAGUCACACUGGAACUGAGACACGGUCCAGACUCCUACGGGAGGCAGCAGUGGGGAAUAUUGGACAAUGGGCGAAAGCCUGAUCCAGCCAUGCCGCGUGUGUGAAGAAGGUCUUCGGAUUGUAAAGCACCUUAAGUUGGGAGGAAGGGUCGUAACCUAAUACGUUACGGCUUUGACGUUACCGACAGAAUAAGCACCGGCUAACUUCGUGCCAGCCGCCGCCGUAAGAC